rnacentral:rRNA from 1 species
UACAUGGGGUGCAAACGUUGCUCGGAAUUAUUGGGCGUAAAGCGCACGUAGGUGGUCUGUUAUGUCAGAUGUGAAAGCCCUCGGCUUAACUGAGGAAGUGCACCUGAAACUGGCAGGCUUGAGUACGAAAGAGGGUCGCGGAAUUCCCGGUGUAGUAGUGAAAUGCGUAGAUAUCGGGAGGAACACCAGUGGCGAAGGCGGCCUUCUGGCUCGUGUCUGACGCUGUAGCGCGAAAGCGUGGGGAGCGAACGGG